AAACAGCCCCCUAUGUUUUGAUUCUUUGGCAGUUUUGGACCCCAAGGCAAAAAUUAAAAUAAAAAAUUGACACGUGGCACCUCACUUAGGGUGCCACGUCAGCGUUGACCGAGUCAACAAUGGACUGGAGGUCCAAAACUGCCAAAGAAUCAAAACAUAGGGGGCUGUUU
rfam:Medicago truncatula strain A17 chromosome 2, whole genome shotgun sequence.